GGGGCCAAUGGUGCGAUAUGGCAGCCUCACUUCUGUCAGUCUGCCCCAGGGCAGCUGUGGCUACAACUGUAGCUGCCUCCACCAGUCAUGCCAACCAUUACCUGGCAGCUAUUUUCAUUCCAGUGGGUGUCCUUGCAACUUUGGCCCUUCUCACCUUGUUCUGUGUCUGUCGUCCAAGAGAUGAGACAUAUAUAAGGCAAACUAUUGCAAAGCUCUGGAAUGAGGAAGGGCGAGGUGCUUCUCACAAGUCAAGGGAGCCAACUCAUCAGUUCCCCAGAGACUCAUUCAGUACAAAGCAGCAGCCCUCAACACCUUCAGCAGCCAAUCUUGGUCCAGUCCAUGUGCACAAUCCAGGCACAGUCAUCUUUAGCUUGCUCAGUCAAUUUACGGGUCAAGUCGGGCCAACGACCGAAUGUGGGAAGACGGCUGAGAGAGCGAGGAGAGAGGAAGAGGAUGAGAGAAACUGUCCAGUGUUUCAUCCUGCAUCUUCUCCCAGCAUUCAUCUCUCUGAGGAGGAGAGGAGUGGAGAGAAUGACACCAUUUUCUUCCCUUCCCAGGAGCAGGGGAAAGACUCCCACAUGUCGAAAGAGGAGAUCCUAUGAUGCAUCUCAAAAAAUUCAGAAGACUUGGAUACAACAAACUUUGAAACCACAGAUGAGUAUGGAUCAUAUUCGUCUUUCCUCAGCAAGCUGCGGAUGCACUGACUUUGUUUCUGCAGCUUCUGGAAAACACUCACCUCAGAAAUGUAUUAAAUCUCGGAAGAACAGCUGCAAAGUGGUCUUCUUUGUAAGUUAUGAUUUACGAACUCUUGUAUAUACUUUUAAUAAGCUUCUUUGGCUCAGUGCAAAGAAUGCCAUCCAAGGUGUAGAAAGCUUUGUUAGGUAGUUAUUAGGUAGUUUUAGUCAAAUUUAUUAAGUUUAUUUUAAAUGAAAAAGAAAUAGAAGAAAAAAUGUACACAGAACAUCCACAUGUGAUAUUGAAAAGCUGGCUACAAAAGCAGCUAAUUAUGUCUGCACAUAUAUGUAGAUAUACAUGAAAUAUGUUUAACUUUAUGUACUAUAGUACAUACUUUCCUUUCACUGCCACAAUGUCCCCUCUGUCUUAUCAGUUCCAAGAUUUUUACCCACCACAAUUUUAUACACUUCAAAGUCACAGAUGCCAAAAUGAUCAUCUGUCCUCUCAGGAAACAGCAACAGUUUCAAACUUUCCACCUUCUGGCAUUUCACUGAUCAGCACGGCGCGGAGUGCCUUUUAGCUCCAUUUAAAUGUCCAAAAGCAGUGACGAAUGUUUUCCAUCUGGGAUGUGCCACCGAGUGUCUUGUUAGGUUCUCGCUCCUCCAAAUUCCAGAUCUGGUCUUUAACACAUAGGUUGGUCACAUUUCCCGCACACUUCCUGGACGGGCUUGGACACUUCUUCAUCACAUGCAGGUUGUGUGGCAGGUUUUUCAGCCAAGAAGUACCCUAAGCAGCAAGAAAUGACGGGAUGGUUUUAAUAAGAAUUUAAACAUUUGGGGGUAUUUAUAACACAAAAGUUCUAAGAAAAAUAUUAAGUGAUUUAAAAGAAAUCUACUAACCGUGAGUGAACCUAAUCCAGACUAAAAAUGGCUUGAUUUUUGUCACAACAACCAGUGCAAUUCCUGUACACAGGAGGGCAAUUAUCACCAGGAACCACACCGUAUCUAUAAUAACACAUGAGAGAGUUAGUUUCCAUAAUUUACA
ensembl:lncRNA